rnacentral:lncRNA from 10 species
CUAAUUUUUGCAUUUUUAGUAGAGAUGGGGUUUCACCAAAAUAGGCAUCCUUAGAAAAGGAAAUUCUUAGCAAUUUUAGAAAUGGGUCCCAACUCCACAAAAUCCUGCCAGAGAUUUCUGUCUCCACCCCUCACUUCUCUGUCAACACAGCCAUAAAAAAUAUGUUAAUUGUCCUACCCCAUUCCCUGAUUUCUUUUAGAUCCAAUAUGAAAGGAUCCAGGUUUAGCAGAGUAAAUUAUCUGAAACAAAAUAAAAAUAAGUUCUGAGUUUAUUAUCAUCAUUUUAGGUACAUUAAACAUUUACAAUGUGCCAGGAAUAUUAUAUUCUAAGUAAUUUUUAAAAUCACUUAUGAGAUAGACACCAAUAUUCAUAUUGUUCUCAUGAGGAAGGGGAUGCUACAAGUUUAAGCGACAGGCAUACCUCAGAGAUAUUGAGGGUUUGGUUUCAGACCACUUCAGUAAAGGCAAUAUUGCAAUAAAGCGAGUCACACACAUAUUUUGGUUUUCCAGUACGGAUAAAAGUUAUGUUUACACUAUGCUGUAGUCUAUUAAGUGUGCAAUAGCAUUAUGUCUUAAAAAAAAACAAUGUGCAUGCCUUAAUUUAAAAAUAUGGCUGGGUGCAGUGAUUCAUGCUACCUGUAAUCCCAGCAUUUUGGGAGGCUGAGGCAGGAGGAUCACUUGAGCUCAGGAGUUUGAGACCAGCCUGGAAACAUGGCAAAACCCCAUCUCUACAAAAAAUACACACACACACACAAUUAGCCAGGUGUGGUGGCAUGCGCCUGUAGUUCCAGCUACUGGGGAGGCUGAGAUGGGAAAAUCACUUGAGCCUGGGCAGAGGUUGCAGUGAGCCAAGAUGGCGCCACUCCACUCUAGCCUGGGUAACUGAGUGAGACCCUAUCUUCAACAAAUAGAAUAAAAUAAAAAUUUUAUUGCUAUAAAUGUUAAUGAUCAUUUGCGCCUUCAGCAGAUUGCAACCUUUUUGCUGGUAGAGGGUC